ACCAUUAAUGAAAUCUAAAGAGGUCAGCGAUGGUAGCUCUGGUGCAAGAAAGCCAUACAUUCCUCAUAUCUGGAGCCACAUUUGAAAGAUUAUUUCUCUAAAGGAAGAGAGAAAAGUGGUGAGAAGACAAAGAUACAGCUUCAUCUGACAUGAAAACUUUGUCUUCAAAUCCCCUCUUCAUCCUGUAAUUACCACCGCCAAUGACACUGAUAUGAAGAUGCCUAAACACUUAACUGGGUACCCUGGAAGUCAUCAACAUUUAUAUGAUACCCUAAAAUGGAGUCCAAAACUGAGUGGAUUCUGGAUCAAUUAGCCUAAAAAGAAGGACACCAAUGUCACCAGGAAGCAGUGAUGUCAGCUAAGAAGAGGCUGGUUGCCUUCUACUCCCAGGCUUAG
ensembl:lncRNA